UACGAGGGGGGGCGAGCGUUUGUUCGGAAUUAUUGGGCGUAAAGGGUGCGUAGGCGGUUUGGUAAGUCUGAUGUGAAAUCUAUGGGCUCAACUCAUAGUCUGCAUCGGAAACUGCCGGGCUUGAGUGUGGGAGAGGUGAGUGGAAUUCCUGGUGUAGCGGUGAAAUGCGUAGAUAUCAGGAGGAACACCUGUGGCGAAAAGCGGCUCACUGGACCAUAACUGACGCUGAUGCACGAAAAGCUAGGGGGAGCAAACAGG
rnacentral:rRNA from 1 species